rnacentral:rRNA from 1 species
GCAGGCUUAACACAUGCAAGUCGAGCGGUAACAGAUCUAGCUUGCUAGAUGCUGACGAGCGGCGGACGGGUGAGUAAUGCAUAGGAAACUGCCCAGUAGUGGGGGAUAGCCCGGGGAAACCCGGAUUAAUACCGCAUACGUCCUACGGGAGAAAGCAGGGGAUCUUCGAACCUUGCGCUAUUGGAUGAGCCUAAGUCGGAUUAGCUAGUUGGUGGGGUAAAGGCCUACCAAGGCGACGAUCCGUAGCUGGUCUGAGAGGAUGAUCAGCCACAUCGGGACUGAGACACGGCCCGAACUCCUACGGGAGGCAGCAGUGGGGAAUAUUGGACAAUGGGGGCAACCCUGAUCCAGCCAUGCCGCGUGUGUGAAGAAGGCUUUCGGGUUGUAAAGCACUUUCAGUAGGGAGGAAAACCUUAUGGCUAAUACCCAUGAGGCUUGACGUUACCUACAGAAGAAGCACCGGCUAACUCCGUGCCAGCAGCCGCGGUAAUACGGAGGGUGCAAGCGUUAAUCGGAAUUACUGGGCGUAAAGCGCGCGUAGGUGGUUUGGUAAGCGAGAUGUGAAAGCCCCGGGCUUAACCUGGGAACGGCAUUUCGAACUGUCAACUAAUGUGGUA